AGAGGUUGAAUCAUGCUCAGGACGAACGCUGCGCGUGCCUAAUACAUGCAAGUCGAGCGACCAAGAUGGAAGCUUGCUCCUGAUGGUUAGCGCCGAACGGGUGAAGUAACAACGUGGGUAACCUGCCUUGUAAGACUGGAUAACUCCCGGGAAAACCGGGGCUAAUUACCCGAAUUCGUUGAUUUGAACCGCCAUGGGUUCAAAUCAUAAAAGGUGGCUUCAGCUACCACUUACAGAUGGACCCGCGGCGCAUUAGCUAGUUGGUGAGGUAACGGCUCACCAAGGCAACGAUGCGUAGCCGACCUGAGAGGGUGAUCGGCCACACUGGGACUGAGACACGGCCCAGACUCCUACGGGAGGCAGCAGUAGGGAAUCUUCCGCAAUGGACGAAAGUCUGACGGAGCAACGCCGCGUGAGUGAUGAAGGUUUUCGGAUCGUAAAGCUCUGUUGUUAGGGAAGAACAAGUACCGUUCGAAUAGGGCGGUACCUUGACGGUACCUAACCAGAAAGCCACGGCUAACUACGUGCCAGCAGCCGCGGUAAUACGUAGGUGGCAAGCGUUGUCCGGAAUUAUUGGGCGUAAAGGGCUCGCAGGCGGUUUCUUAAGUCUGAUGUGAAAGCCCCCGGCUCAACCGGGGAGGGUCAUUGGAAACUGGGGAACUUGAGUGCAGAAGAGGAGAGUGGAAUUCCACGUGUAGCGGUGAAAUGCAUAGAGAUGUGGAGGAACACCAGUGGCGAAGGCGACUCUCUGGUCUGUAACUGACGCUGAGGCGCGAAAGCCUUAAC
rnacentral:rRNA from 1 species